rnacentral:rRNA from 1 species
UGUGUAGGCGGCCGCGCAAGUCGGAUGUGAAAUCCCCGGGCUCAACCCGGGAAGUGCACCCGAUACUGCGUGGCUCGAGUACCGGAGAGGUUGGUGGAAUUCUCGGUGUAGAGGUGAAAUUCGUAGAUAUCGAGAGGAACACCGGUGGCGAAGGCGGCCAACUGGACGAGUACUGACGCUGAGACACGAAAGCGUGGGGAGCAAACAGGAUUAGAUACCCUGGUAGUCCACGCCGUAAACGAUGGGUGCUAGGUGUCACGGGCUUUGACUCCUGUGGUGCCGUAGCCAACGCAUUAAGCACCCCGCCUGGGAAGUACGGCCGCAAGGCUAAA